AGGAACUAAAUUUGUGGACAAAGACUUAUAGUCAGGUACAAAAAUAAAUCCUCUUUCGCAACCCAGAGCACGGUAUGAGUUUUGAUAUAGAUAAGAAGGAACAUA